rnacentral:rRNA from 1 species
UACGUAGGGGGCGAGCGUUGUCCGGAGUUACUGGGCGUAAAGGGCAUGCAGGCGGUCGGACGCGUUUCGGGUGACAGCGGGUGGCUUAACUACCCGAGUGGUCGAAAGACGGUUUGACUUGAGGACGCGAGAGGGACACGGAAUUCCGGGUGAAGUGGUGAAAUGCGUAGAGAUCCGGAGGAACACCGAAGGCGAAGGCAGUGUCCUGGCGCGUAACUGACGCUGAGGUGCGAAAGCCAGGGGAGCGAACGGG